rnacentral:misc_RNA from 1 species
GUCUUGAGUAUAAUGGAUGGGAUCCUUUAGCUGAUGGUAGGAAUUUUAGUGGGCAUGAGCAAGAUGUUUUCCAGAGCUUCAGGUUCAACUUGGAUGAGGUGGAGACUGCCACACAGUACUUCUCAGAGGUAAAUUUUUUGGGCAAGAGUAACUUUUCUGCAGCAUACAAGGGAAUUUUGAGGGAUGGCUCCGUUGUUGCUAUCAAGAGCAUUAGUAAAACUAUCUGCAAGUCAGAAGAAGCUGAAUUCUUGAAGGGG